AUAAGGAGCAUUUAAGAAUGAGGUAAAGUGGCGUCUCCUCUUCCUGGUCCCAAAGAUUAUAGAGACCACCAUGCUGCAAAUUUAUGAUUGAAUGGUUGUCAUUGGUGAGAAUCCUUCCACGGAGCAUCAGCCAACCGAAGAAACGGCAUUUACGUUCGACCUUUGCCUUAUAAAAUUUGAUGACAUUGAUGUUGCAGUGUGAUCCAUGAACCUGGGCCAAGUAUGCAGAGCAAGCACAAUAGGAGGCAAAAUUAGAGGCAUUCCAGCUCAUAGAAUUUCGAGUGUUGGGCUGCAAACUGAAUAUGUUGGAUCAUAGACCAAAGUUUGUUUAACUACCAUAGCUGAAGAGUGGUUAUGCGGUGGAACUCGGACGUCCAUUUUUGAUUUGUGAAACCCUGCUUGACAGUGAUGUCCUUUGUGAUGAAACAAGGGGCUUGUCCGUACAUCCAUGGAUGCAUUGUUUUAUAUUUUUGAAAGGUUCCACUAAACAAAGCCUAUUAAGUGUUAUCAUAGACAUUAGCAGGAAGCAUGUGAUUCGUGACCAGCAUAAUCAUUUUUAUUCCCCCCUUUGUGAAAUCUGCGUGCUUAUCUUUAUUAAGCUUCAGUGCAAUGCAAUACGGUUAUCAUAUUGGGACAAAGUAGGGACGGGGAUUUCUUUUCGUCCAGAAACUUACUAAUGCUUCUUUUUAAGGGAUUUUCUAUGCUUAUGCUAGAAAUGUUGGCGAGUGACUACACCACCUGUAACUUGGCAGGACACUGCACAAAAACUACUCCCUCCGUUCCUAAAUACUCCCUCCGUCCCAAAAUAACUGACUCAACUUUAUACUAACUUUAGCACAAAUUUAAUACAAAGUCAAAUCACUUAUUUUGGGACAGAGGGAGUAUAAGUCUUUGUAGAGAUUUCACUAGUGGGCUACAUACGGAUGUAUGUAGACAUACUUUAGAGUGUACAUUCAAUCAUUUUGCUCCGUAUGUAGACAUCUAGUGAAAUCGCUUAAAAGACUUAUAUUUAGGAACGGAGGGAGUAUAUAGUAUGCUAAAACCCCCUAUAGGAGGCCCUCAGCAUGGUUAGUAGUUUAGUGUUGCCUAGAAUCAAACAAAUCACAAAAAAUUGUGAGGCCAUAUGUUGAUAUGUUGUGAAACUUGCGUUACAUGAUUUGACAGCAUGGAGAUGACUAUAUUUUCUAUGUGUCGAAUGUGCAGAGGUGUAGUACCGGGAUUAUCAUAUUGGGCUAAUUAUCCUCUUGCCUUUAGUGGUGUUCAUGUGCUCAGUUUUAUCCUCAAUUGCGAAUCGUCCUCAGUUUUGCCCCUACACUGUGCGCAACUACUAUGACGAGGCCAAACAGACAGUUAUAAGUCCAUUCCGUCUAUACUCUGCGCGACUGCUCGCUGCUUCCACAACGGGUCGUCUACCUAGCAAGUCGGGCGGUGCUGCGUACGCCGCCUUAAGCGUCGUCUACUUCGUUCCGUCAUCGUCAACAACGUAGCUGCACCGAACACAUCUGCUUCAUCUGCAAACGUUCGGUACGUGCGUCAUGUUUCCGUUGGCCUGAUGAACAUGUUAGAUGCGUACAUGUUUUGCUAUUCGGUGUUGCUGCUAUUCAUGUUGUCUACUACAUCUAGUAUGUUAGAGUUUCACAUGUUAGUAGCUAGUAUCGUCAUGCUUUAUAUUCUGGAAUUAAUCAUGAAAAUUGUGCUUAAUUACUCAACAUCUGCAUGGGGCCCCAUCAUUAGACGGACGUGACGGGCGUGUCCGGACGUGUCCGAACACCCUAUAUCCGCUCCAUAUUUAGACUGGAUAUGAGAAGUGCUAGUCAGUCCGGACGUUCAAGGCCCGUUGGCCCUGCUAGGUUAAUUUUUCAUGAUCGAUCAGUGACCGAACGACCUGACCAGAUGUUUGAGACGGAUAUGAAGGGUCCGACUAAAUGCUCUUAGUCAUCUAACCAACACAGUCGUUUGACGAGCUAGGCAACUACCCAACUGCAGGCAUGCGCAUGAAAGAUGUUGUUUGUGUGUGAGAGGUCCAAAAGAAAGGUUCAGUUUGGAUCAAUGCUAGAAUCAAUGAAUGUUGAGCCAAUCAUCAAUGAAAAAUAUACAUAACGGGAUCAGCUACGUAUGAUAAAAUAUAUUUAAAUGAGCACAUAAGGAAGGAGCCACUCGAAGGGGAAAUAAAACGUGUUGGACUUGGAACGAGUUGUGUUUGAAGGAAAAAUGUACGUGUACGUGAAAGAUGCAGGCCUCCGCGCAGGCGGGCCGAUCCACUCAAGGAUAUACUAUAUGGGUAAUAAAUAUUACUCCAUCCGUAAGCUAAUAUAAAAGCAUUUAAAACAUUACUUUAGUAAUCUAAAUAUUUUUAUAUCAGUUUAUAGAGAGAAUAGCUUUUAGGUUUGGACUGUUUUUUAGAGUUUAGACAACUUUGUGUCUAUCGACUAUGAAGCAUGUGUUUAUCUUUUUAAUCUUUAUGAGAUUUCCAUUUAAGAAGAUUACACUUUGUUUGGGGUCCGUCGUCACCGACGGCUUGCAUGUUGGUUUCAUCUACUAGGAAGAGUACUACUUCCUUCGUUUCUAAAUAUAAGUCUUUUAAGCGAUUUCAUUAAGAGUCUACAUACGGAGUAAAAUGAUUGAAUGUAUACUCUAAAGUAUGUCUAUAUACAUCCGUAUGUAGUUCACUAGUGAAAUCUCUAGAAAGACUUAUAUUUAGGAACGGAGGGAGUAAUAGUUAUAAGUAAUGCUCACUGUAACAAAUUUUACAAUUUACAAACAUUCUCACAUUACAAAAUCAAAUGGAAAAUUGCAAAUUCUCAUGUCUAAACAAUUCAUAAUUGACCAAACUAAUUUAGUUAGCCUGAAUUCAGUUUGAUAGUGACAAACUGACGGAUAAAUUCAGUAGCAUACUUUGUUUACUUGAUUCGGGGUCAAAGGAUUUGUACAUGUAAGUGGCGAUUAUACCUUCAAUAGCUGAAUUUGGGUUGCGUCUUUGAAUCACGGAUGGAUUCGUCGCUUAUACUGUACGCAGAGAUUAGAAAGUGUGAUGGAUCAGUGAUGGAAUCGUCGCCUGCUUCCGCGCCGGCCGCCGCCACGCGCACCUGAGAUCGAUCGGCAAUCAGGCGACGGCAACUCUCUGGGACCUGGCCGCCGUGCGGUGCCGAUCAGCGGUUGGCGGCUCCGCUCGGGUCUCUCCGCUCCGCUCGGUACGCAAGCGAUGUGGAUUUUCCUGAUAGAUCGUGUAUUCUGUUCUCUAUUCUGGUACGUGCUACAGCAGU
rnacentral:lncRNA from 1 species